GGAGCCCCAAUGGCCCUGAGCUCCCCCAGGCUCGUAGAGCAGGCCUGGUCUCCCUGUCCCUGUCCCUCAGGCUCUCGGCGUCCUUCCAAAGAUGACGGGGUGGGAGUGCCAGGCAGGAAUGGGAGGCAGGAUGAACCCCCAGCACCUUCCACCCCGCACUUCAGACUUGCUGCUCACAACCCUCUUCCCAGAGUGUGGUUUGGAAACAGUGUGGCUGCAGGGCUGGGCAGGGACUGGGCAGGUGUGUGACCUCAGGCCCAGGCGGGCGCUGGCUCAGCCUCCUGAGCUGAAAACAGAUGCAAACAGUAGGACUCAAGGGGUGUGGCUUCGCCACUGAAAAUCUCUGUUGCAUGUGCCUGUGUUUGGGGCUUGCAUUCCCGCCCCUCCGGGGUCCCCACUGCGAGGGCUCUGACAGCUAGCCCUGGGGUGGCCCGGAGGCCCAGUGACCCACCUGAGCUGCCCCAUGGCUGCUCCUGGCAAGGGCUGGCCACAGUCCCAACCCAGCCAGCACCAGGCAUCCUGCUGUCCAGGCAAGGCUGUCUCUGACACAGGCACCUUUCUGUCCCCCCACCACGGCCCUGGAGCCUCCCUCACUGAAGGCUGGUGCCCCCAACUUGGCCUACACGGUGGAGGGCGUCGGAGUCGCCAAACCCCUCUCAGUGCCUCCCUGGGCCUCCUAGGAACAGAACAGCACGGCUGCCUGAGAGCUGAGAACUGACCCCUUGUAUGACCCCAGUCGACCGGCUGCCCCUGGCACCAGAGGGCUGCAGGCACUGCCCAGCCAGCCCAGGUCUGCCACUGAGCCCCACCAGCCACAGCCAGGAGUGGCUGCCACUGGGAAGCCGGUGCCAUGCCCAUAGCCCCUGGGGCACCUGGCUGAGUACCCAAGCCCCUGGGCUGUCCAUGUCUGAGGUGGCCAGCUCUGGGACAGCUGGGAGCCUUUCCUGAGCAGCCGCAGCUGCUGGCUCGGGGAGGAAAUGCUCACGGGACACUCUGGCAGAGCGAACAGGUGGAGGCAAGCACUCUGGCCACCCAGGGCCCGGGGCUGCUGGAGUCGGAGUCCCGAGGUUGAGUUCUGGCUCCGUCUGCGAGACACCACCUGGGUCACCUGGGAAACCACUCAAGCUGGCCAUGCCUUAGUUUCCUCAUGUGCACCAACCCUGCAGAGAGGGCCCCAGGACUAGUGUCCACUUAGAAUCCCAGCCCUCUGCCCAGUUCCACCGUCAUCUGAGCCACCAUCAUCUUUUGGACUAUGGUCCUGGCCUCCUCCUGAUCUUCCUGCUCCUGUCCUCGUCCCUACAGCCUGUUUCCAGCAUGGCAGCCACGUGAGCCCUGGGAAGCUGCACGUGCAAUCACGUUGCUCCUCUGUUUUCAGAACCCUCCAUGGCUCCCCACUGCACUC
rnacentral:lncRNA from 1 species